CAGUAGGGAUCUUCCACAAUGGACGAAAGUCUGAUGGAGCAACGCCGCGUGAGUGAAGAAGGUUUUCGGAUCGUAAAACUCUGUUGUUGGAGAAGAAUGUAUCUGAUAGUAACUGAUCAGGUAGUGACGGUAUCCAACCAGAAAGCCACGGCUAACUACGUGCCAGCAGCCGCGGUAAUACGUAGGUGGCAAGCGUUGUCCGGAUUUAUUGGGCGUAAAGCGAGCGCAGGCGGUUUUUUAAGUCUGAUGUGAAAGCCUUCGGCUCAACCGAAGAAGUGCAUCGGAAACUGGGAAACUUGAGUGCAGAAGAGGACAGUGGAACUCCAUGUGUAGCGGUGAAAUGCGUAGAUAUAUGGAAGAACACCAGUGGCGAAGGCGGCUGUCUGGUCUGUAACUGACGCUGAGGCUCGAAAGCAUGGGUAGCAAACAGGAUUAGAUACCCUGGUAGUCCAUGCCGUAAACGAUGAGUGCUAGGUGUUGGAGGGUUUCCGCCCUUCAGUGCCGCAGCUAACGCAUUAAGCACUCCGCCUGGGGAGUACGAUCGCAAGAUUGAAACUCAAAGGAAUUGACGGGCCCCCCACA
rnacentral:rRNA from 1 species